ACCCUUUGUGGUUCUGUCGAUAGCCAUGUGGUUUGGUCUGACAGCAUUCCAUCUCUACCAAAGUGGUGCCUGCCCUUCCGAAGUCGGGCCCAAAUUCUUUCAUCAACAAGUGCCUCAAGAUUGACAUCCUCAUGGAAACCACGUUUGGCACAAUUGACAUCGUCAGUGCAGCCUUUGUGGGAUGGCUGGUUUCUGCACGUGUCGACAUCCUUCAUGAGCACAUCCUCACAGUGGCCUGUGCUGGACACCUGACCUCUGCCCUGAUGGGAGUCUAUGCCCUCGGCUUCAGCAACAUGGCUGAUAAAAGGGGUACAUCUGUUGCCGUCUCACAUUGUUGCUGGUGCUGGUAGGCUGCUUUGCCUACAGUGUCGUCCACCAGAGGAUCAUCUUGACCACAUUAGACUGGAUUCUGUAUGUGGUUGGCUUCUGUCCAGAUAGUCCCCUUCUGACCGGACUCCUGCGAGGUGGAGAGGGAGGCCCCUCCCAAGCAGGACUAGAUGUGGAGCGUUGACCCGUGGAUGUAGAACAAGUCCCCAGAUCUGUAUGCAUGUGGUGUGUUCUGGCUACAUGGACCAGGUCACCAGGCUCACUCUCUUGUAUUUCCGACUUUGGAUCUGUCUUUAUAAAUCUUGAAUGACAUUUGUAUUGUCUAUGGAGAUAUGUGUGUAACUGACAGAGAGACUAACCAAUACUUCCCUGGGUGAAGGGUUGCUCUUUGAAACAAAUAUCUAACACGUAAGGAUGAGAUACUCCCCAACUUGGCUGCUGGUUGCAACUAAAAGAUUAGUUUAUUUUAGAAUAGGAGCUGGUUGUAACAUACCAAUUUAUCAUUAGAUCACCCAAAGUGAUAGAAGUUCACCAGUCAGCAUCACAUCACAAAUUUAAAUUCUGGAAAAUGUACAUCCUACACAACACGAACAACGUACACCUAAGGUCAACUAAGGACUUGGUAAAGGAAGGUGUGUGUCAGACGCUUCCACGCUUUGUCAUUUAUUUGUAGGUAGAGAAUAAACCAUCUCUAGAAAUAAAACCAAGGUUGUAUUAUACCAAAAUAAUAUAUUGUAUGAUCUGUUUUUAUUGAGAAUGUUGGAGUUCGAUUAUGGGAAAUUACAUUUGAUGUAUAUGUUAUUUUUACUUUCUGACAAUCUCAUUUAUUUCAAUUAUGAAAAUCAAUCUAAUUCAAGACAACAAUCGUUUUGUUAUGAUGAACUGUUUGCAAUGUUUGUUUAAAUCAUGAUGGAACUUGUCAGGGUAAUGCGUCCUCUACACGUCAAUAGAGGCCGCGGCUGGAACACCUCUACUCAACAAAUAUUUUACUUUGUGACCAAUCAUUAUUAUCUCCCAAACUAUUUUUAUACAUUAUAUGAAAUAUAUUUUAAUUGUUGUAGCGUUUGCAUGUUGUUUUUCUUUUCUAUAUCUAUCGUUAUAGUUAUAUUACUUUUAUAGAAAACCUACUUACAAUAAAUUUAUUUUAUUAUAACA